UACGUAGGGUGCAAGCGUUGUCCGGAAUUAUUGGGCGUAAAGAGCUCGUAGGCGGUCUGUCGCGUCUGGUGUGAAAUCCCAUGGCUCAACCAUGGGCUUGCAUCGGGUACGGGCAGACUAGAGUGCUGUAGGGGAGACUGGAAUUCCUGGUGUAGCGGUGAAAUGCGCAGAUAUCAGGAGGAACACCGGUGGCGAAGGCGGGUCUCUGGGCCGAUACUGACGCUGAGGAGCGAAAGCGUGGGGAGCGAACAGG
rnacentral:rRNA from 1 species